rnacentral:rRNA from 1 species
UGUACACGCUGUGACUAGCAUAUCAAUAAGCGGAGGAAAAGAAACUAACAAGGAUUCCCCUAGUAACGGCGAGUGAAGCGGGAAGAGCUCAAAUUUGAAAUCUUAAAGGGUUUCCCUUUACGAAUUGUAGUUUAAAGAAGUGUUUUCUGUUGAGGUUUUGGUAAAAGUUCUUUGGAAUAGGACAUCAUAGAGGGUGAGAAUCCCGUAUUUGACCUUUACUUUCAACUUUGUGAUACACUUUCAAAGAGUCGGAUUGCUUGGGAAUGCAGUCCAAAAUGGGUGGUAAAUUUCAUCUAAAGCUAAAUAUUGGCGAGAGACCGAUAGCGAACAAGUACCGUGAGGGAAAGAUGAAAAGAACUUUGAAAAGAGAGUUAAACAGUACGUGAAAUUGUCAAAAGGGAAGCGUUUGACACCAGUGUUGUUUUUCUGAAAAUCAAUUAAAGAACUGUUUAUGCUAAGCUGUUUAGACUUUAUCAGCUAUCUGUUUAGUUUUGAGCUUUUCUUUAAUGCACUUUUCAGUUAACAAGUCAACAUCAAUUUCUUUUGCUGUAAAAAAGCUUGAGGAAGGUGGCUUGAGAUUCGUCUUAAGUGUUUAUAGCCUCUUGCCUAUGCAGUCGGAGAGAUUGAGGUCUGCAGCGUAGAUCCUUCGGGGCUAAAUGCAUUUGUGCUAAGUUAUAGCAUUUUAUAGACAACUUGUUGACUAUGAUUUGUCUUGUAGCUUACUCGCUUAUGUUAUUUUACCUACGCUUAGGAUGUUGACUGAUAUGUAGUCGUA